GACGAACGCUGGCGGCGUGCUUAACACAUGCAAGUCGAACGGAAAGGCCCUGCUUUUGUGGGGUGCUCGAUUGGCGAACGGGUGAGUAACACGUGAGUAACCUGCCCUUGACUUUGGGAUAACUUCAGGAAACUGGGGCUAAUACCGGAUAGGAGCUCCUGCUGCAUGGUGGGGGUUGGAAAGUUUCGGCGGUUGGGGAUGGACUCGCGGCUUAUCAGCUUGUUGGUGGGGUAGUGGCUUACCAAGGCUUUGACGGGUAGCCGGCCUGAGAGGGUGACCGGCCACAUGGGGACUGAGAUACGGCGCAGACGCCUACGGGAGGCAGCAGUGGGGAAUAUUGCACAAUGGGCGGAAGCCUGAUGCAGCAACGCCGCGUGCGGGAUGACGGCCUUCGGGUUGUAAACCGCUUUCGACUGUGACGAAGCGUGAGUGACGGUAAUGGGUAAAGAAGCACCGGCUAACUACGUG
rnacentral:rRNA from 1 species